rnacentral:rRNA from 1 species
CCUACGGGAGGCAGCAGUGGGGAAUAUUGGACAAUGGGCGGAAGCCUGAUCCAGCAAUGCCGCGUGAGUGAUGAAGGCCUUAGGGUUGUAAAGCUCUUUUACCAGGGAUGAUAAUGACAGUACCUGGAGAAUAAGCUCCGGCUAACUCCGUGCCAGCAGCCGCGGUAAUACGGAGGGAGCUAGCGUUGUUCGGAAUUACUGGGCGUAAAGCGUACGUAGGCGGUUAUUCAAGUCAGAGGUGAAAGCCUGGAGCUCAACUCCAGAACUGCCUUUGAAACUAGAUAGCUAGAAUCACGGAGAGGUUAGUGGAAUUCCGAGUGUAGAGGUGAAAUUCGUAGAUAUUCGGAAGAACACCAGUGGCGAAGGCGACUAACUGGACGUGUAUUGACGCUGAGGUACGAAAGCGUGGGGAGCAAACAGGAUUAGAUACCCUGGUAGUCCACGCCGUAAACGAUGAUAACUAGCUGUUCGGUCUCUACGAGACUGAGUGGCGCNGCUACGACAUUAAGUUAUCCGCCGUCGGGAGGUACGGUCGCGAGAAUUAAACUAACAAAGAAGUUAGACGGACGUGAGACGUGCCGAACGGACGACGACGAGGGAGGUAGG